GAAAUUGUAAACUUGCAAGUGUCAAUUGAGCAUAUUGGAUCUAUUUACGUACCAAUGGAACUGCAGGAUAGAGUCUUAAUGUUUCUGUCAAAGCUGCAUGGAGAUAUUGCAUUUUGUUAAGGACUUCAUCAGUAAGGCUUGCUGCAAGCUCAUCAACUUUUGAGCCCUCUUUCAAAUUUGUUACUUCUCUAACUUCCUUUGCGAUCUUUUCUUGUAUGUGAAGAUGCUUGCACAUCAUAUAAAUAAACCAUGAGAGAGAGCUAGAUGUCGUGUCUUGUCCGGCGACAGUAACACAGAGGACUAUGUCUCUCAGGUACUUCGGAUCAGUAUCUUUCAGUUCCAAACACCUUGAAACCAAGUCUCUUUUCUUUAGCUGCCAUUGAUCCUCAAUACAUUAUUGAUGAUAAAAUACGAAGUUAAAUCAUCUAUAUGUAAAACAUGGAAGAUUAACUCACAGAUAGGUUAUGUUCUGGAUGUCGCAUAGCUUCAAUCUUGCUAUUGAUUAAUUUAUACACAAAUUGAUCAACCACUUUGAUGUUUUUCUUUAGCUCUGCUUCCUUACCGAUGUUUAAGAAGCGUUUGAUCUUCCACAACUUAUCAAAUAUCCGAUACAGGGCAGCUUCUUGCUGCGCUUCAAAAGCAUGGGAAAACAGGUUACCUUCUUCAUCUUUUCCACUCAUGCUGUCUAGUUCAAUACCAAGUACAAUCUUGAUGAUUGAGUCUAAGGUUGCUUUUCAUAAACAAAUCCUUCCAAAAAAAAAAAAAAACACAUACACACACAAGAUUAAUGAUAUAUCAAAUAGAUAUAACAACUUAAUUGAGACCAAAAUCCAAAACAUACUUGGAUUUCUAUUGCUUUGUUGCUGGUUGCAGCUUCAUAGAUUAUGCCAACAAGUUUAACUGCAUUGGUUUUGAAAACCGAAGUGCUGAAGUCUCUAACUACUUUUGUUGAAAAUUUCAGCACUCAUCAUCUUCCUCUGAUGCUGCCAUUUUGCCCAUCCACUCCGAAGAUCCCAUCACCACAACAUCUGACAAAAUGUUGUAUGUAUAUGACCCCUGCAGCAUGUUGCAUUGGAACUAUGACAUGAAUAAUGUCACAUAUGUAUGAAUUGAACUUCUACACAUUUAAGCAUUCCACAUCAUAUAUACCUUGCCAUAAUUAGUGAAGUUUGUUUUCAGCACAUAUUCCACAUUUGCAGGAUCUGCUGUGUAAAUAGCACCUUUGAAGAAGUCCAGCAGCCUGUAAGUGUUGUAUUUGAAUGCAAGCUCAGCCAUGUAAUGAUGCAGCCUAGGGAAGUAGAUGAGUUGGUGAAAGACAGUUCCGACAACAGGAUGGUAUCUCUUGUUCUUGUCACGCACCCUUCGGCCCCGGUGUCUUACCACAACAACAGCUAAAACUAACACUAAACUUAACACUAUAGCCGGGGAAGCAAAAUCCAUGACAGUGUUGAAGAAGAUUAUAGUAGCAGAGGAAGCUAGCUUUUCUGUUUCUGCCGACUUCCCUAUCCAACUAUAUAUCCAAGCUAGGUAUUUGCAUGGGAACUCAGCAGCAAUUGAACAAUAAUUGAGUAACAAUUCAAGCUAGGCUCCACUCCAAUAAUACAUUGAACUUGUUGGUGUGAUUGGAAAUGGCUGGCCAAAUCUCCGUUGCACAUUCCAUAUNNNNNNNNNNNNNNNNNNNNUUUCUUUUUUUGGGAGGGAUAGCAAACAUUACCGCCAAACUCAAUGUUACGUACAGCAGCAGAAAACAAAUCCAUGAAAACAAAAGGAGCACUCGUGACUUAAUUGUCUCUCUCAUUCGGUUUAGAUUGCAGGUCAAUAAUGUACGUUAUAUGGGUAUGGAGAUGAGCAAGGCUUGGCCGAAAGCACAACCGGUAACCAAUAUUGGCAAUCUACUUAACCAUGCAUUAAUUGGUGAUAGAUUACACACCCACUUUACUUUUCGUGCUCAACUAAAUCUGAUACGGUGUACUGUUCUUGUUUACAACCAAAUUAAUAUUUUAUUGGACAGUAAUUGUUUAGGUAAAUAUUAAUUAAAUUCAUGGUCCACGUCAUACCAACGAGCCUAAAAUAUUGGGUUUAUGGCCCGCCGGUGAGCUGGGUAGCAGAGUUCACAUGAAGUGUACUGACUUCGCGUAGAAGAUUGAGCGAGGCGAGAUGCCUUCGCGCGGGAAGACUUCGCCAGGAGAAGAGUUUACGUGUAUUAAGGUUUCUAUUCUUUAAAUCACAUGUAUGCAAGUGUAUGUACUCCCUAUGCGUGGCGAAGGAAAAUGCUUGCAGCUACAGUGAAGGCGAGAUGCAUGCGAAGAAUAAGGUUGCAUGCGAGAUGCUUGCAGGCGGAGAAAGAUGCUUGCAGGCGAAGAAUUAUAGACUUCGCAUAGAAGUGGAGGAGUCUUAAAUGUGGAGGCGAGAUGCGUGCGGAGAAAAGAUUAUUAAUGGCUACUCAUGCUGCCAUCACAAGAAGACCUAUAUGUCCUAUCUCACGUGCCAAUGUAAGUCAUUGUUUUGGCCACUUGGUCUACAGAGAAGAGUUCGCAUAGAGAUAGGAUUAAAGGACGUGUGAGCUGUGCCUUAGGUUUGGAUAAUUAUCUUUAUUUCCAUGAUUGCAUGCGAGAUGGUUCAUUAAGGAUCCUUAUCCUUAGUUAAACAUGAUUGCAUGGGGAGGGGUUCAUUAAGGAUCAUUAUCCUCAUUCAAGCAUAAUUGCAUGAGGAAGCUUACGUCCACAUCCGCGAAGGUGUUGUAGAGAGCAACUACUGUUCCUACAUUACAUCUAUGUUCAAGAGUUCGUGCCUUUGGAAUAGGGAUGACAAUAAUCCCCCAGCGGGUAGGGUACCCACGGGUAUUCGACCCUAACGGGGAAGAUAUACGGGUAUAAACGGGUAACGGGGAUGGGGAUCCUUAGUAUUCGGAUUCUUAAAUCGGGUACGGGGCGGGUAUGGUAUUUUGAUAUUCGUCCCCAUCCCCACCCAUUAAGGAUGAAAAUAUUAUUAUAUAUAAUUAUAUAAUUUAUUAUUAUAUAUAUUUAUAUAUAAUUUAUAAAUAAAUAUUUAUGUAAAAAAAUUUGUAAUUCUCUUAAUAAACAUUUAAUGGACCUUCCUUUUUAUUAUAUAUUUUUAUUCUCUUAAUGAAAUUUACCGGUAUUGUUAUGUUUUAACCAAGACUUGUAUUUAUUUUUAUUGGAUUGAAGUAUGAAACUUAUUUAUUUUGGUAUUUGAUUUUAAUUUCAUACUUUUAUAUAAUUGUAUUUCGUAAUUUAAAAAAAAAAAAUUUAAUUUAAUACAUAAUUGUUAACGGGUACGGGUACGGGUAUGGAAACGUAAUCCCCAAAGGGUACGGGUACGGGGAAUCUCCAUUAUCUAAUUACGGGUACGGGGAUGAAAAAUGUAAAAAGGUAUGGGUACGGUAUUUUGAUCCCCGUACCCUACCCUACCCAUUGCCAUCCCUACUUUGGAAACAUAAUUAGUCACGUCACCUACGAACUCAACGUUGAAGACUUCUACAAGUCUUUGACAUGUUUUGGGCCAAUACAUGUGGCCCUAAAUAGCUUUAUAUAAGAGAGUUCGAGGAUCUGGUUUAGCUCUACACAACAAACAAUACAACAACUCAACUUUACAAAAUACAAUACAAUUUUCGACCUAGUCGAACCUCAGACGCUCCCCGGAGCUUUCCUUUCGUUUCCCCGUACGCUCUCCGGAGCUUUCUCUUUUUUCCUCUCCUUCCCAAUUGAAGCUCUGCUCGAUCUUACGUCGAGUAUCGAUAUUGUGACGCUCAGGCGGACUACUGUAAGUCCUUGCCUAGUACGCAAGACGAAUCUGAAGAACUCUGCGGUGGAGUUGGUGCUUUCUCCAUCCUCAGUCGCUUGAUUAGAAGCGGAAGGCUAAGCGCACCCAGCUACUACAACCAUUACAUUCCGCAUCCGUGCGGUGGCACGCCUGCAACAACUAAAAGAGACUUUGCAUGCCCAAAAUUACUGGUGUGGCCAAAACAGUUCUAUUUGUUGAUCGGAUUUCAAGUGCUUUGUUUAGCGGAAAUUCUUCAAUGCAUCAAGAUCGAAGUGAACCAGUAAUUAAAAUGAAAUCUCAGCCGUUCAUUUGAUCAGCCCACUACAUGCGCACUAACUUCAAUAUUAACGUUAUUAACAAUAACCCAAAAAAAACAAAAAAAAAACGAAUUGAAACCAUAGUUAAUGUUAAGAACUGAAACCAAAGUAAAUAUUCGAUCGAGGAAGUGUUCAGACUUUAGCUCAAUCUCAUGAUUCUUGUGAAUUUUUUCGAAGAGGAGGAGAAUUUCGAGCUCGUAUUAAAUCACUUGUGUCCUAUGCUCGUCAAGAUGAUGUCGUUUUUGUCCGAUUAGAUUAUUCGACGAGAUGGAAUCGCCGAUCCUAUAUAUUUACAGAGCUCGGCGGCGAUGGAGAUGAGCCUUGGUUGCCAUGAUUCGAUCUGAAUCUAGUGGUGGACUGGUGGGUUUAGAGAAGAAAUGGAAGCGAGGUUUGUGAGACCCAGGAGAACUAGUUUCAUGAUUGAUAUAGUGAAGAUUCAAUCAUCAAAGUGGAAACCGGUGACAGUACAAAAAUGUGAAGAAGAAAAUUGAAAAAGGCGGUAUUGCUUUCCCAUAACCGAUUCAUGUGAAAUUUGAGAAGGGCAUAGUUGUCCCUUUCGAAAGGAAAGGCUAUUUUUGGUUGCCAACUACUUGGCAUUAAGAAUAGUUGAGAGAUGUAGAUGACUUGAGCUAAUUAAAGCAUAAGACUGAUCAUACUAGCUAGCUCACCACCUAAUUCCAUUUCAUCCAAACGAAUGCUAGCAUGCGACAGAUUGUGGUUGCUGCCGGAAUGCGACAUUUCAAUUCAUAAUCACCUAAGAAGCUAAUCUAGCUAGCUAGCUACUUGAAAUUUACUACUAAGCAUAUAUGAAGGACUUACGACUUACGAGUCAUCUUCUUUGAACUUCACAUGAAUUAUGAGCAUGGUAAUAGAGCAUCAAUUUUAGAACUAGCUAGGCAGCAAAACUGCGCGAUGUUGCAGGUAUAUCAUUGAUGUAUCUGGCAAUUAUGAUAGAGGCAAAAAAGUAAAUCAAUACAAUAUGAGAAGUAAUGUAGAGAAUAGAGAAUUGAGGUAAUUAGAUACCCUAAAACGAUAGAGGAUUACCACUGUACAUUCAACUGGUAAAAACACUGUAUUGCCCCCGGUUUGCAAACAAUUGCAACAAGGCCAUUGAUGAAUAAGUAUGGACACCUGUGGGCAUGUGCUGCUGAUACGUGUCUGGGUCAUUGACGUGUCGUCAGUGUCUUCUUCAACACAACGACGGGGUUCUUCUGCAUUCGCUUUUUGCCAGUUGAGAGGGAGAGAGAGAGGGAGAGGGGUUAUUCGUGAAGCGAAAAUCCGCAUUGCCAUUGUCAAUCAAAUCGUCGAGGUAUGGACUUUGCUCUGUAUAUGAUUGAUUUUGGGUUUUUGUUUCAUCUGUCCCGAUCGUCUUUUAUCUUUGUUUUGAUUCCAAUUUGCCUAUACUUUCAUCAAUUCGCAAAGUCUGGGUUUUUAAACGGAUUAUGCUUAGAUAGCGAUCGUUUUGCUCACAAAAUAAGGUAUUUAGUUGUUUGGUUAGUUGUAUAUGUAGUGUAGGUGGUGUUUUAUAAUUGGGAUCUGAAUUUGUCUCAUGAAAUUAGUUAUAGGAAAUGGGUGUUUCAGACCAUAAGCAUUGUGUUGCUUCACCAUUAUAGUUGAAGAUGUCCAAUCAUUUUCUACAGGUAGAAAGUAAAUCCAUGUCUUUUAACAUCAGUUUUCUGUCCAAUUCAAUCCAUAGUUGAAUUGUUAAGGUCAAAAGCUUUAAGAAAAGCAAGGAAAAAUAAAAAGAGCAAAACAAAGAUAAAGAAUAUUGUUACAAGUUGGCAAUUAGUGAUACAAUCAUCAUUAACAAACAGCUCCUCUUCUCAUCUACCACAUGUAUAUUAUCAUUAUAUAUCAGUUUCAGACAUUCAGCAACCUUUGAACAUACAUAUUGUUUACAUUUUUUUUAUAUAUAAUAACUUUGGAGCCAUACAUGGUUUGGCACAUAGAGUUAGAAAGAAACUACCAACUGCUCAAUUAUCAAGAUUAGAUCAAGAUAGAGAAAAACAAACAGAUGGAGAUGCUUCUAGGUUGUAUAUAUAUACAGCGGGUUUAUAUAUAUAUAUAUAUAAAAGAGGGUUUGCAUGAGUCUUUGUUGUCCAUAAUGCGUCCAUGAUGUCUUUCGACCUAAAAUCUUUGUUGUCAAUCUCAUACAUGGUUACAUAACAAAAAAGAGACAGUGUGAAAUACCUGAUGUGUUACCUAUGCGCAAAGCUAAUUACCAGAUUUUGAUGGGAUUCACUAAGAUAUAUUUAAUUUUUUAUCAAAUAUAUUUUAAAGUUUACUGUAUGUACAAAGCUAAUUUCCAGAUUUUCAAUUGUUACAAGUAUAUAUUUUAACGCUCAGUGUUUUUGUAAAAUAUUUUAACCUAUGUUUAGGUUACCUGUAUCACAUUAUGAGAAUUGGUUCAUUCCUUAUACUUUUAUAACAAUGUGUGAUGACUUUAUCAUUAGUAAUUCACAUGUGUAAUGACUGAAAAUAGUGAAAUAAAAACAGCUGAGAUGCAGCAAUAACAAUGUGUGAAAUGGCUCAGUUCCUUUUGCUUGGUUUAGAUCUUGCAUGCAUUCAUUCUGCGAGGAAAUGGAAGUUCCGAGGAAAGAUAGUAGUGUGAGUUGGUCUUGAUCUCAUUUUGUGGUGAGGGNNNNNNNNNNNNNNNNNNNNAUGCCUCACAAUCAGAGGAUCUUCAGUCUUUUAAGUCUUAGUCUGUUAUUCUUCUAUUCCAGUUAUCAUUUUAAAUCAAUGAACAUACCUCAUCCUGAAUAUUUUUAAUUCCUUAUUAAUCAUCUUUUCUGUAAGCUGAAAUAGUCGCAACUUUGUACGAGUCGAUAAAGGAGUUUGUGAAAGCUGGCAAUGAGGAGAAGAUAAGGUAAUGAUGUAAAUAUAAAUUGCUUGGUAUGAAAUUCUUUUCAUUUGGUAUUCUUAGCAAUCAAAUACGAUAUUUUACUGUUCAUUAUUAGAUCUCAUAUUCAUUUAAUGUGAGUAAUGUAUGGCCUCAUGUGAUGUGCUUAUACGACUUCUCUCUUAUGUUACUUAUGACACGAUGCAUGCAAAUUGCUUUUUGUACUCUUUAGGUACGUAGCAUGCAAAACUCCCAGAUUUCUGGGGUACCCUUUAAGGAGCUAUUAAUCUUUUCAUUUUUUCAGCAAAUGGAUGAACAAAGUUACAACAUGAUGCCAUAAUUUUACAUGAACCUUUUCUUUUAAUAUUUUCAUGGUCAUAAUGUGGGAUGAUUAAGGGCUUUAUUCAGGUUUCAGUCUAAUAUUGUCUUCCUAAAUGUAUGUGAAUGCAUAAAGGCCUUUUAGUUUAAAUUUUUGAUACCCUUGGCAUGUCUUACUGUUUUGUUUCAAACACUUAUAGGUUUCAGCGGUAUAAAUUUUCAGUUCAAAAAGAUUGACGUAAGAUCUGUAUUGCUGAGGCUUUUGAACUUGCUGUGAAUGUUACGUUUUAUUUCCCUUCCUGGAUAGAUUUGUUCGGUUUAUUUUAUUUGCUAAUAUACUUGCAUAAAAUUUUUGUACAUCAUAUCCACUCAUGCUUUGUCUGUCAUUUUUGUAUGAAACAUUUACGCAGUUAAGAUCUUCUGAUGCUAUUCUUCAUUUUGAAAAAUGUAAAAAAUUCUUCAUCGUACUGAGAUACAUGAUAGAGGUUAUGUUUUUUGGCCAGAGUUUAUUUUACCUUGAUUGUGAUCCCUUUUCCUCACAAAAAGGUAUUGCGUUGUUGUAUUCGUGAACAAUCAAGUUAUUUUAUUAUGCAUGCUUCAUUAUUGGUAUGAUUAUAUGUUAUUUAUGUUGAGUUCAUGUUCAGUUUUGCUCAUAUUAGUAAUCAUUAACAAAUUAUAUUCUUGAAUCCUGAUUAAAAGUGAAGUUGAGGAGUUUAUUAAGUCCUUUUUUCUUUUUUUUGCUCUAUUGUAAGGGGUGUUAGAAAGUCUUUAACAGUUCCAUUUCAUGGUACCUUUGGAAGAACAACUUUGUCAAAGUUUGUAUAUUUCAGAUCUCGACUUCGCUUUUCUGGAGAUGAAUCCUUUUGCAUUGGUUGAUGGAAAGCCAUAUCCUUUGGAUAUGAGAGGCGAGCUCGAUGACCCUGCUGUUUUCAAGAACUUCAAAAGUACAUUCAAUUUCUGUUGUUAUUACCCUCCCUGCUAAGUUAUUUGACGAAAGCUAUAUGAUACUAUCUAAUGUUUCUUCUGUUUAAGUGUACCAUUUUGCAACACCACCUUACAUGAUAUAAUUGUUUCAGGCGGGCUAAUAUUGAAUUUUCAAUGCCUUUUGGAAGAGUUACGAGUCCUACAUAAAAAAUUAUUCAUGGGCUAGAUGACAAGUACAAACAAUGAUUUACCCUAUCAGUGAUAGUUUUCAUGCGGGAUUUUAGUUGUAUGCAAUUUUAAUUUCUUUUAUUGUUCAUAAGGAAAUACCCCCAUAUUUAUGGGGAAAUACCUCGCAUUUAUGAUAGCCAUUUAGUAUCCCACUUUAAUCAGGUUGAUUUCUCAAUUGCUUACAGACAUGGGCAUCUUUGAAAUUUACAGUCGUGUACCCUAAGGGAAGAAUCUGGACUAUAGUUGCUGGAGUGUAAGAGUUAUAUAUGCUGACAUGGUGUGCUCAAUUAAGAUUCAAAAAUUUAACUAGAUUUAAACCUUGUUACUUAUGAACCAUUGGUUUUCCUUGGCAUUCAUUGCUCACACUCAAAGUAUAUUCCUUUAUCAGGUUGGAGAUCUUGGCUCUGCUAAUGAGCUUGAAAACUACACUGAAUAUAGUGGAGCACUAAAUGAGAAGGAGGUCUUGCCGUAGGCCAGAGUUGUGAUUGAUGUAAGAACUCUUUCACUCUUGGCAUUAUAUCACUUUAUCCACAGUAGAUGAAAUGCUACUUUCAUAUUUACCACAUCUCUGUUUUCCAUCAAAAACUUUUCACAAGCUUCAUGGCUUCUCUUUAAUACAUUUGGAAUGAAUUUGUUCAUAGUUUUCUGCCCUGAAGCUUAUUGAACAUGAAAAUAGGUUGUGGGUCUGUGGUGGUUUUUGUUAUUUGGGUUGCUGCCUUUUGCAUUUCUGGUAAGGGUUAUUAUUUUUUCGAUGAUUAUAUAUCAAUAUCUAUUCUGUAUUUUUUUUCUUCUCUGCAUCUUUUGUGUGGUUGCUGACUAAUCUACUCUUUCUUACUGUGACUUAUUAAUGGAUGACUAUUUUGUCUACACAUCUUCAGGUUGAUGUUCUUGGAGAAGGUCUUUUAAGCAGGUAUCCUCAAGUUCAAAGGACUUUCAUGCAUGAUGUUUUAUCCUCUCAGUCAUUUUCCUUUAUUGAUUUUAAUCUCUAUUUUAUAGGAAACAAGUGACCUUGGGACAAAAUUAGGUAAUCAAAGAAACUGGGUUUUUGUUUUCGGAUCCUGUUGAUUUACUGUUAAGUAUGUUUUAGAAUGCUUAUACUUGCUUUCAAAUCUUUGAAGAGUAAUGGGUUUCAGCUGGAAAUGGAGGAGAGAAGAAGUACAGACGUUGUCAUCGUUGUUUCCGGGGUUUUCGGUGCAGCUGUUGCCUACACUCUUGCAAAGGUCAGAUAAUGAUUUCAAUAUUUUUUUAAGGAAAAAAUUCAGUUUACUACCCUGAACUUUAGGUCUAAAAUCAGUUUGAUACCUCAUCUUUUUUUUUUAAUCAGUUUGAUACCUAAACUUUCAAAAUGACAUCAAUCUCGACCAAAAUGACUAAAAUAGCCCUGGUUAAUCUUUUUACCCUCUCUCUCUCUCCUGCCUCCAAAUCCACCACAUGGCCNNNNNNNNNNNNNNNNNNNNAAACUGUGAGAUAGUGAUUAUGAGAAACAGAAAAAUAAAAUAAUCGAAGCUGCACAUGUCCAGUGUUGUCCAGUCAUUGGGUAUCUUAUUGUGGCAUUUUAAUAGAGCUGUUUGUGGUAUUAUGUGCAAAAUGAAUCACAUCCGAGUUGUUAUGCUGGUGUAGGAACAUACAUUGCAUAAACAUUGCCUAGGGAACAUUAGAUUUAGAUUGAAACCAUGUUACCUCACACUGAUGGUUUGUGACUGGUGGGCGAUGUGGAUUCGAUAACAAUGAAGUUAUCUGUUUUUGACAAAACCUGUGAUGAUGGUAUUUGUGUAGUAACAUUUUCAUUAAUUAUUGAUUCUUCAAAUUCUCUGAAAACAGUAGUAAAUAUGUCUUUUGUAGUAGAUGUAUGAUUUUGUUUUUAGAAAGCCAUUUUAGCAAAGAUGAGAGUAGUUAUUUGAAGGCUUAUACUACUGUAACUUUUAUCAAGUGUACAGCUUAAACUCUACAAAGAAACUCUCCAAUAUUGUGUUCCUUGCCAACAGUAGUUUGAAAUUUGUGGGAAAUUAAGCUCGGUUGUUGAUGACAUUUAUAAUCUGUAUGGAUUGGUUUCUAUUGUGUGCUGAUAUGGGGGGUUCUGGGUUUUAAUUUGUUUGCAAUGUAGAAACUAUAUUAUUUCUAUUGAAAUGAUGCCUCACAAUCAGAGGAUCUUCAGUCUUUGAAGUCUUAGUCUGUUAUUCUUCUAUUCCAGUUAUCAUUUUAAAUCAAUGAACAUACGUCAUCCUGAAUAUUUUUAAUUCCUUGUGUAAAGCUAAUAUAAAUCAAUAAUUCCAGUUUCAGUAUCACCAAUAAUGGUCUUCCUAAGAUAUUGUUGCAUCAUUUUACCAAGCAAACUUUUAUUGAUUACAGUACGUAUGAAGAUGAUGCGCUGCAGUAGGUAAAGGAGUUUACUCAUCAAGACCAACCACUGGUGCACUGAAGUAGCUAUGGUAGUAAUGGCACAUGUCAUUUAAGGUCUUGCAUGCCAUAUUCUCGGGGAGGCAGUCACAUAGAGACCUCCAUCAAUUGGUAGGGUGAUCAUGGUCUUGUAAUUGACAAUAUUUUUCUCAUCAGCUAGCUUGAAUAUAUAGCUGCCUAAAAGCAUAGCAGAAAAUAUUUUCAUCUGCGUAUAGGCAUGUUCCUUUCCUAGACAAAUUCUUGGACCGGCCUGCAAUCACAUAAUCUCAUCAGAAGUCACAUUAUGUAGUGAGUCAGUGAUUUCAUUAUUAUCUUUUUCUUACACUGAAGGCUAUGAAUUUGAAAGGACUUUCAUCAUGGAAAAGGCCAUUUUCGUCGAGCCAUCUCUCUGGCCGAAACUCUUCUGCAUCAUCACCCCAUAGAGAUUUCAUCCUUCCCAUUGCAUACGGUUGGUAUACCACCAUGUCCCCAUUUUUGACACUAAAUCCAUCUGGCCAGGUAUCAUCAGAAAAACACAUCCUCAUGUUCUACGAAUGGCAGCAUCACACAAAACAAACUUGUUUAGAGGUAGAUUAUGUGAUUCAAGAAAUGCGAGGAAUUGUAACCUUGCAAGUGUCAGUUGAGAAUAUUAGAUUUAUAGACGUACCAUUGGAACUGCAGGAUAGAGUCUUAAUGUUUCUGUCAAAGCCGCAUGGAGAUAUUGCAUUUUGUUUAGGGCUUCAUCAGUAAGGAUUGCUGCAAGCUCAUCAACUCUUAAAUUAUCUUUCAAAUUUGUUACUUCUCUAACUUCUUUUGCAAUCUUCUCCUGUAUGUGAAGAUGCUUGCACAUCAUGUAAACAAACCAUGAAAGAGAGCUAGCUGUCGUGUCUUGGCCGGCAACAGUAACACAAAGGACCAUGUCUCUCAGGUACUUUGGAUCAGUAUCUUUCAUUUCCAAACGCCUUGAAACCAAGUCUCUUUUCUUCAGCUGACAUGGAUCCUCAUUACAUAUUUACAUUAGAAAUGAUAAACACCAAUUCAAUUCACUCUAUAUAUAAGCAAUAACAAACAAAUGAAGUGGAAGGUAACUCACAGAUAGAUUAUCUUCUUGAUUCUGCAUAGUUUCAAUCUUGCUAUUGAUUAAUUUAUACACAAAUUGAUCGACCUCUUUGAUGUUUUUCUUUAGCUCUGCUUCCUUACCGAUGUUCAAGAAGCGUUUUAUUUUCCAGGAGAUAUCAAUAUACCGAUAGAGGGUAGCUUCUUGUCCAGAUUCAAAAGCAUGGGAAAACCGGUUACCUUGUUCAUCUUUUCCACUCAUGCUGUCUAGUUCGAUAUCAAGUAGUAUCUUGAUGAUUGAAUCCAAGGUUGCUUUCAUAAACAAAUCCUUCCCAAAAAGAAAAAACACAAGAUUUUUUUGUAAUUUCAAAAAGUAAACAAUUUAAGACCAAAUAUCUUUUGUAUGCAUGAGUGGCUUUUGUUUAAAGUUGUAAAUGAGUCUGUAUGUCUUAUAUAAUAGCAAUGCAAUAAUGUUGCAAACAUACUUGGAUCUCUAUUGCUUGGUUGCAGAUUGAAGCUUCAUAAAUGAUGCCAGCAAGUUUAACUGCAUUGGUUUUGAAAACUGCACUACUGAAGUCUCUCACUACUUUUGUUGAGAAUUCAGCGCUCAUCACCUUCCUCUGAUGCCUCCACUUUUGCCCGUCCACUCCAAAGAUCCCAUUGCCUAGUCCAUCUGACAAAACGCUGUACAUAUACGACCCCUGCAGCAUGAUGAAAACUUGGAUGGUAGUAUGUACGUAUAAAUUUAACUUGUACACACACAUAUAGGAUACAUGGUCCUUCUAGUGAGCGAUCAUUUUUUUAUUAUCUUUUAUAGGGAUACCGCUACAUCAUUGGAUUUGGUUUUUAAUGACUUUGUAUGAUUGAGAUUAAAUUAAAAAUUUUAACACUUUAUGUCAAGCCUGAACCAUUCAAGAUCAUUAAAAAUAAAUCAAAGUUUUGAACGAUAUAUUUAUAUGCAUACUUAAUUAAGCAUAUAAUAAAUGAUCAUAUACCUUGCCAUAAUUAGUGAAGUUUGUUUUGAGCACAUAUUCCACAUUUGCAGGAUCUGCUGUGUAAACCGCUCCUUUGAACAAGUCGAGCAUCCGGUAAGUUUUGUACUUGCAUGCAAGCUCAGUCAUGUAAUGGUGCAGCCUAGAGAAGUUGAUAAGUUGGUGCACCACCGUUCCGGCAACAGGAUGGCAUAUCUUGUUCUUGCCACGCAAUCUUCUGGCACGGUGUCUAGCCACAACUACAGCUAAAACCAACACUGAACUUAAUACUACUACAGCCGUGGAAGCAAAAUCCAUGACAGUGUUGAAGAAGAACGUAGUAGCUAGCUAGCAAAGGAAGAUGGUUUUUCUGUUUGUGCCGACUUCCCUACCCACCUACCCACGAAAGUUCUUGUAUGCACCAAGGUUCAAGUGAACCAAGUGUUAAAAUUUAAUCUCAGCCGUUUAUUAGAUCUAGCUUUUACAUGACACUAACACCGAUAUUGACGCCGUUAAGAGUAUUAAAAAAUGAAUAAUAGUCAACACAGUAAAACUCAUAAAUGCUAAUAUUUAAUUAAUCAAAUUUACCCUGCUUAGAUAUGCGGACGAAUGAUGGAAAGUCCAUAGGUUCAAGGACUUUUAUUGGGUGCCUGCCUGCCUGGUUCAAACCAGGAACAAUGAUCUAAUUUAUUUUUAAUUUUAUUUCCUUAAUGAACUUCAUUAACACCUUCUUAUUACAAACUACAAUAAUUACAAAAAGUUUAAAUUAAAAUUUCUUAUUUUCUAUUGACAUUUAUAAUUUUAGAAACUUAUUAUACAAAAUUUCCUUCGUGGAUUCAAGCCUCAAUAUAAUUCUAUCACUUUAGACUUCUAUGAUCUAAAGUGAGAAAAAUCUAAACAUUGAAACAUAUAACUAACAUAUAACUGUUGUAAAUAGAAAAAAGUUCUUUAAAAAAUUAACAUAAACCUUGCCUUUUUCUUUAAAAACUUAUUUUACUUACGAGAAACACUUUAGAGCUAACCGGUUAGCUUCAUAAUAUGAAACUAAUAGUCUAUUAUUUCAAGUUUUCGGUCACAUAUCGACAUAUUCACCUUUGAGUUAAUAGUUCAUUAUGAGUAGAUUAAUUCUGAAAUUUUCAACUAAAAUCAUUUGGAUUUUUCAUAAUUUUAUAAUUACGAACUUGAAUGGUUCAUGUCGGACAUAUUUGAUAUUUAAUGCAUAUGGUUAACUACAUGGAUCGAUUUCAAUAAUGACGAAAACCAAUUGUUUUUUAUUUAUUUUUUUAUUUUUUAUUUUUUUUUUUGUCAAUAUCCAUAUUGUGUUUCUCCUUUAUUACAUCCAACAUUCAUAUUGCAUGGCCUAUUUACUCUAAACUCAAUGAAUUUGGAAGAUAUAGUUUUUCGUAUUAUUAAUAAACAAGACAUAGACCACAUAUAAUUUGUUCUAUCCAAUGUAAAAAUUUAUAAACGGACACAUAGCGAUGUAUACAUGUAUUACGUACACUUAGUAAUAGCUACGUACAUUGUUAAAAAAUUAAUCAAAUCUAACUUCAUUUCAACAUAAGCAUUUAUUUUGUUAAAGUUGACCAUGUAAAUAAGGAGAAUAUAUAUGCAAUUAAACAUGUAUCAAUGAUCACAUAUUAAACAUGUAUCAAAUAAACAUGCAAAUCAAGACUUACAUUGUUGUAGAUAUAAAAGAUUUUGUGCACAUCUGUAAUAUUGAAACCGAAAAUUGGUAUAAAUUUGAAUAUGUGACGCAUUAGUAAAAAUUUAUUUAUAAUAAAUUUCUAUUAAUAUCCGGUUAUAUUUGCCUAGAAGAAAUAUAUAGCACAAAUUAGAAGUGACAUAGAGAACUCGUUAUGUGCCAAUGAAUAAAAAAAAUUGCACGCCCGCAUGUGUUACGCGCGCUAAAGGAUACUAUAAUGUUAAACAAUGGAUUUGAUUUUACAAAUUUUCGACAUUAGUCAACUAUGUCAAUUUUGUCACCUAAAUACCUAAAAAGAAAAUAGACUAUUACCUAAAUACCCCGGCCCUUAUUAAUAUGCCAGGAACAUUCACCUUAUCAACAAAGGAUAAACAAGUAAUUUAUUAAAUAGCAUUUUUGAUUAUAUGAUCUAAUCUUGAAGAUAAUAUUAUAUUGAGAUGAUGAUGUCGUGAACCAGUAUUAUCCUAUAAUCUCUCCUAAAAGGAAGUCAUGAUAGAAUACAGAUUCAGUAUUCAUUCCCAGCAAAUCCUAAAAUCAUGGCGAAGAUGGACUCAGCGCGAUUCAAUGGAGAUUCAAUCGACUCAAUGGGAUUCAAAAGAUGGAGGACCGAUCCGGAUCACUGGUCGCCGGCAACAUCAGCGUUUCCGGUAACAGCCACAGCCAUACAUUCGAUCAAAAUCUCUCUCUCUCUCUCUCUCUCUCUCUCUCUCUACUACUACNNNNNNNNNNNNNNNNNNNNCUUCAUCCUCCUCGAUUGUUACCCUUUGAGAAAAGAAAAACAGACCCUUUUCAUUUUCGAUUGGAUCAUACCGAGCUCAUAGUCAGAUAACUUCCUCCUCGAUUGAGUAGUUAGUAGUUACCCUGGUUUAAUUUCAUAAAUUUAAACGGGUUAAUGGGAUUCAAAAGAUGGAGGACUGAUCCAUCUCCAUUCUCCAGUCAUGAUCGCCGCCCUCGUUCUCCGUCAUCUUCUCUCCGGUCACUAGGGUAAUAAUGAUAUAAGUGAUUUUAUUUUUACUGCGUUUUCAGUUUUUUUUUUUUUAAGUCUGCUAACCUAACGGUGGUAUAGUUCUGUUAGUCCAUGUUAGCUGGUUCAAGUGCACCACGGUGCACUGAAUCCGCUCCGGUUUUGUGGCAAAAAUUACUGCCAAGCUCAAUGCUACAGCAGCGGAAAACAACAAAAGGAGCAGUACUUGUCUUUCUCGUUGGAUUUGAAUUGCAGGACUGGAUGUUAUAUGGCCUGCAUGGGUUGGAGAAUCGAGAUGAGCAAGGCUUGGCCGAAGCGCAAGCUGGUCCACCAUUUCAUCAGCCUGUACCAAUUGGGACGCAAUCACUGAGGGCGAGGACAUACCUCUUUACGUUCUCUGCAGCUACUCAAUCUGCUAUGACACCCUGUUUUGUACUAUUUGUUCAUCGGAUUUCAAGUUUUAGUCGACACUAUAAACUAGGUAGGCACUUCAGAAAAGCAAAGGUCUUUUUUUUUUUUUUUGCCGACUACUUGGCAUUGACGAAUAACUGAUAGCUGGAUGAAUUAAGCAUGAAAUUGAUUUUCACCGAUUGGAGCACAUUCUAAAACUCAUGUUUUACUAAUUGUGUGAUUAAGAAAUAUGACUAUUUCAUAUAUAGAAGGGGCUUUGCAUACAAGGUUUGGUACGAUAUAUAGGAGGUUCGUGGGAGUGUGAUGAGGGACAUGGCUAAGAUAAUGUUAAUCAUGUUAUGUAAUACACACAUCCAUAUAUACAUCAGAUACACCGUAGAAUUUUGGUUAUUACUGCUGUAGAAAGUUUGAUUAUAUUUUAAAUUACCAAAAUUAACCCUGUUGGGAGAAAGACCUCCGGAUAGAGAGAACGGGACUUGGGAGAAACUGAGAAAGUUAGAGAAGAAUCCACUAUCAGUGAAAAACAAAGGGUCAUACUGUCACAGGCUUAUUGGGCAAAGGAACCAAACAGUUUAUGUAAAAGGGAAAUGUUGGUUUUUUAUUUUUUUUAUUUUGACGAUGUAAGGGAAAUGUUGGUUGAUCGAGGACAGAAGAAGAAGAAGAGGAGGAGGAGGGACACAAGAUCGAGCACAGAAUCUAAUAGUUGGCCUUUGAUUAUCAAAUUUCAAAUUUUGGUAGUUCUCAACUCUCAAUUUUUCAUUAAUUAGCAAGAGAUCAAUGUUGUUUUUUUUUCUGGGUUUUUUUUUUCCUGAUUUUCUUUGAUGCUAAAAUCAAAUAGGUUUUCUCUGUGUUGCUCUCCUUGCAUGCAGCCAAAACCCUAGUUAAUACAGUAAUAUAUGAACCAUAUAUACAUAGUUUUUUCGGUAAACGACAUAUCAAUAGUAUCCCUUAUGGUAAUCGUUAGAUUACUUUAAGUAAUAGUUGACCUAUUCUUUCAUCGUUAUCAAGCAAUGCUGCAAUGGUUAUCUUGAUCACACAGUUUGAAGAUGACAAGGCAUUUGAACGCUACUAGGAAAAAUAAGAAGAUAACAUAGACAAAACAAGGUGAAUGUAGUUAUAAAACUGGGGGUUAUUUUUUUUUUUUUUUUUUUUUUUGUAACAGGUAAAAAAACAGGGGAUUUAAAGGUCUUCACAGACUUGAAGGGGGAGUGGAGUACUCCAUGGCCAAAUUGUCAUUAUUAGAAUGGAAGACUGAAAAGGUCUGCCUUUGAUUUCUUCCAUGCAUUUGGAUCCCUAUUGGCACCCCGAGUGGAUAGCUACUUUGAUAUGUAAAGUCAGGGAAUAAAAAAAAAAAAGAAAGCUAAAACAGCAUUAUGUUAAGUACUCUUCAUCUUUAAACUUACAUUCAUGCACAUUUUGGAGCCCAUUCUCGGAUGCACUAAGUUUGAAAUGCCUUGUAGUCUCUUCAAGCCAUAGUCCCAAAGACAACAAAACGAGCAUUUUAAUGGGGAUCUUUGUCUGCCCAUCUUCUGCUGUUCUAUUGUUUGACAUAUGUUGUUUCAUGUACUACUUACAAAUCAAAAACUUAGCACUGUUUGUCACACAAUGCAAAAGAUGAGUAUCGUAGUCUUUUCAUUCGGUGUAACUUCACUAAUUAAUUAUACCUUGCCAUAAUUAAUGAAGUUUGUUUUGAGCACAUAUUCCACAUUUGCAGGAUCUGCUUUGUAAACCGCACCUUUGAAAAGGUCGAGAAUCCUGUAAGUGUUGUACUUGCAUGCAAGCUCGGUCAUGUAAUCGUGUAUCCUAGAAAAGUAGAUAAGUUGGUGCACGACAGUUCCGGCCACAGGAUGGUAUCUCUUGUUCUUGUCACGCAAUCUUCGGCUACAGUGUCUAGCCACAACUACAGCUAAAACCAUCACUAAACUCGAUACUACGGCAGUCGAAACCAAAUCCAUGACAGUGCUGAUCGAAGAAGAAUGUAGUAGCAGAGGAAGAUAGCUUUUCUGUUAUUUGUGCCGAUCGACUUCCCUAUCCAACUAUAUAUUCAAGCUAGAUAUUAAUUUGCAUGGGAACUCAGCAGCUAUUGAACAAUAAUGAAGUGAUCAAGCUAGGCUCCACUCCAAUAAUACAUAUACGGGGACUGAUUGGAGACUAGUAAGAUUGACAUGCAUGGCAUUGGCUGGCCAGAUCUCCUUCUCGAUCACAUUCCUUAUCACUAAAGUUUUUCAAGAUCGCUAUGACUAAUCAUUGAAGCUAGCUUAUGAGUUUCUGUCCAGAUCGACUAACAGUUCCCUCUCCUCUUUCAUUUUUUGUCUACAUUUAUCAUGUGCCCGUGCUCAGCUUACCGCUAACUCAACUGGUUGCUCUCAAACAGGACAGGGAAAGAAGUAAAUGAUUGUUGGUCCAACAAUAGGGCCCCGUGCCAGAUAUAGACAUUUAUUUUUUGGAAUUUGAGUACUUUUCUCUAUAUGCCAUCCCAUGCAUGUUACGUACCUAAUUGUUCUUUAGUAUAUGCUAUGAUUGAUAACCGACAGGCCAGGAAUGACUUGGAUAUAUACCAGCUAAACCUUUGACACAAAAGGAGCACAGCCAUGCUAGGUAGAUAUGCAGACAUGUUUCGUGGCAUGGGAAAAUUACUGCCAAGCUCAAGCUGUGUUUUCAAACGGUAUACUAAAAAACUAAAAACUCUACGCCAGACGCUUAGAGAAACUGUUUCAAACUUGUUCUCAUGCGGUCUGUGUUAUGCCAAAUAAUGGUCUUCAUCAGAGUACUUUUCCAAUAAUGCACCAAUUUAUCAAGCAAAUUAACUUUUAUUGAUUACAAUAUGAAAGAUGAUGAAACGGGAACUUGCAUUGAACAAUAUAUACUAGAUCAAGGAUUUUACAUAGCAAGACCAGUGAUGCACUGAAGGAAGUAGCUAUGGCACAUGGGACUUAAGGUCUUGCAUGCAAUAAUCUUGGGGAGGCAUUCACAUAGAGACCUCCAUCAAUUGGUAGGGUGAUCAUUGUCUUGUAAUUGACAAUUUUUUCCUCAUCAGCAAGCUUGAAUAUAUAGCUGCCUAAAACCACAGCAGAAAAAAUCUUCAUCUGUGUAUAGGCAUGUUCCUUUCCUAAACAAAUUCUCGGACCGGCCUGCAUGUAAUAAAAAAAAAAUCUCAUCAAAAGUCACAUUUUUUCAGAGAUAACAGCAAAUGUUGAGUGAUUUUAAUAUCUUUUCUUACACUGAAGGCUAUGAAUUUGUAAGGGCUUGCAUCCUGGAAAAGGCCAUUUUCGUCGAGCCAUCUCUCUGGCCGAAACUCUUCUGCAUCAUCACCCCAAAGAGAUUUCAUCCUUCCCAUUGCAUAAGGUUGGUAUACCACCAUGUCACCCUUUUUUACACUAAAUCCAUCUGGCCAGGUAUCAUCAGAAAAACACAUCCUAUUGUUCUAUAAAUGACAGAAUCACACAGACAAACUUGUUAGGAAGUAGAAUGUGCUAUUCGAAUCUAGAAAGGAAGUCAUUAAUUGUAACCUUGCAAGUUUCAGUUGAGCAUAUUAGAUUUAUUUACCAUUGGAACUACAGGGUAGAGUCUUAAUGUUUCCGUCAAAGCUGCAUGUAGAUAUUGCAUUUUGUUAAGGGCUUCAUCUGUAAGGCUCGCUGCAAGCUCAUCAACUCUUAAAUCAUCUUUCAAAUUUGCUACUUCUCUAACUUCCUUUGCAAUCUUUUCUUGUAUGUGAAGGUGCUUGCACAUCAUAUAAACAAACCAUGAAAGAGUGCAAGCUGUCGUGUCUUGUCCGGCGACUGUAACACAGAGGACUAUGUCUCUCAAGUACUUUGGAUCAGUAUCUUUCAAUUCCAAACGCCUUGAAACCAAGUCUCUUUUCUUCAGCUGCCAUUAAUCCUCGCUCAUUACAUUAGUAAUGUUUACACUCUAGAUAUAAAAGCAAUAACAAGCAGGAUGACAUGGAAGGCUAGGUAACUCACAGAUAGGUUGUUUUCUGGACUUUGCAGAGCUUCAAUCUUGUUAUCGAUCAACUUAUACACAAAUUGAUCAACCACUUUGAUGUUUUUCUUUAGCUGUGCUUCCUUGCCGAUGUUCAAGAAGCGUUUGAUCUUCCAGAAUUUAUCAACAUUCCGAUACAGGGCAGCUUCUUGUUGCGAUUCGAAAGCAUGAGAAAACCCUUUACCUUCUUCAUCUUUUCCGCUCAUGCUGUCUAGUUCGAUACCAAGUAGAAUCUUUAUGAUUGAGUCUAAGGUUGCUUUCAUAAA
rnacentral:lncRNA from 1 species